AGAGCGAACGCUGGCGGCAUGCUUAACACAUGCAAGUCGCACGGUCAGCAAUGGCAGUGGCGGACGGGUGAGUAACGCGUAGGAAUCUAUCCAGAGGUGGGGGACAACCGUGGGAAACUACGGCUAAUACCGCAUGUUACCUGAGGGUUAAAGGCGCAAGUCGCCUUUGGAGGAGCCUGCGUCUGAUUAGCUUGUUGGUGGGGUAAAGGCUUACCAAGGCGACGAUCAGUAGCUGGUCUGAGAGGAUGAUCAGCCACAUUGGGACUGAGACACGGCCCAAACUCCUACGGGAGGCAGCAGUGGGGAAUAUUGGACAAUGGGCGCAAGCCUGAUCCAGCAAUGCCGCGUGGGUGAAGAAGGUCUUCGGAUUGUAAAGCCCUUUUGGCAGGGACGAUGAUGACGGUACCUGCAGAAUAAGCCCCGGCUAACUUCGUGCCAGCAGCCGC
rnacentral:rRNA from 1 species